CCUAAAUUCACAAACUCAGAAAUAGAACCCCCAAAACUUUUAUCCCCCUUCAAACCCUCUCUAAAAAUCCCUCUCUAAACUUCUUUUUCGCUCUAAAAAUCCCUCUCACUGUAAACCCACUUCGUCUUCCCCCUCAAAUCUCUCGAAAUUUCCCAGUUUUAAGGGAUUCAGUUCGAGAAUGGACUCUAUGAUUGUAAGCAAGUCUGCGUGCUCGGCUCCGUGUGAAGUAUUUGCACAAGAAAGCUUCAGAAUAUGACAUCGGGAUCUAUUUUGAAGCAAAUGGUCAUGGAACAAUUCUAUUUUCAGAAGAUUUUAUAUCUAUCCUACAUGAUGUGGAGAAAGAGCUUGCUUCUUGUCCAGAUCACAUGGCAUGGGAACAAUUUGAUACACCCGGUGAAAAAGCUCCAAACUCAUUAUACAGAGAAACAUGACUUGUAAGCAUUGCCAACAUACAAACAUGAGAAAAUAAGUAAAAUUUAUUAAUUUUUGUAAAUAAAUUCUUUAAAUUUGGAAAGUUUGAUUUAGCCAAUAUUUCUAUUCAAUUUAGUUACAACUUUUGAUGACUGUUGAAUUGAAUGAGAUUCUGAAUCAAACACCAAUGUAUGCUAUUCUGUUCACCUGGAUUGUUGCAAGAUGAGCAACGAGCAUUUCUCCUUCAGCACUGAUGACAUGUCUUGUUGCAAGAUGAGACCAGUCAUGUAUGAUGACAAGGAGGACCUUCAAUCUGUAGCCUUUGCAUACCUUCAGCAUUCGUAACGGUGAACCAACUCAUCGUUAAUUUUGGUGUAUAGCUCCGAGAGCAAUGAUUUUAAGCAGAAAAUAUAGAACAUUAGUGAGCUCCUGGAUAGAACCUUUGCAAGAAGAGGCUGUGGGAUUCGAGAUUGAUUAUGUGGCUAGAUGAGGAAGAAGGUGAAGAAGGAGAAGAAGAGGGCUUGAGUAAAUGUAUAGGGAAGGAGUUGAAGAAGUUUCUGCAGUGUCAUAGCCGUUGUAAAUAAUUUAUGUAAAAGUUUGUAAACAAUUUAUGUAUCUCUCUACUAUUUUGGUGAAAGUAUUAUUUGAAUAUAAUUGGAUUUGA